GAUGAACGCUGGCGGCGUGCCUAAUACAUGCAAGUCGAGCGAACAGAUAAGGAGCUUGCUCCUUUGACGUUAGCGGCGGACGGGUGAGUAACACGUGGGUAACCUACCUAUAAGACUGGAAUAACGCCGGGAAACCGGGGCUAAUGCCGGAUAACAUUUAGAACCGCAUGGUUCUAAAGUGAAAGAUGGUUUUGCUAUCACUUAUAGAUGGACCCGCGCCGUAUUAGCUAGUUGGUAAGGUAACGGCUUACCAAGGCAACGAUACGUAGCCGACCUGAGAGGGUGAUCGGCCACACUGGAACUGAGACACGGUCCAGACUCCUACGGGAGGCAGCAGUAGGGAAUCUUCCGCAAUGGGCGAAAGCCUGACGGAGCAACGCCGCGUGAGUGAUGAAGGUCUUCGGAUCGUAAAACUCUGUUAUUAGGGAAGAACAAAUGUGUAAGUAACUGUGCACGUCUUGACGGUACCUAAUCAGAAAGCCACGGCUAACUACGUG
rnacentral:rRNA from 1 species